rnacentral:misc_RNA from 1 species
AGUUUAAGAUCAUAUACUGUCAGUGUUACUGUUCAAGGUACAGUCGGUCAACUAUUCAAUUUGCACGAACAAAACAAAACAUUCUUUUUUUUUUGGCAUAUGAAGAAUAUACUAUAUAAAAAGAAGACAAUUAUGAAUUAUAUCUACCUAGUUCAAAGAGUAUUUAUUCUCUUCGGAUCCAUGCUUUGUCAGAUUGGGAAGAUGUUGGGAUUUGAUAAUGUUUCGUAUGAAAAGUACCUAAAUACAUUAAGGAGUCGCGAGGAAAAGAUCGUUUUGUUAGAGAGUCGUGUUAGUGAGUUAACGUUAGUGAUGGCUGCCGAAAAAAGUGAACAGUAUGUUGCAAAUCAACAAAAGAAUGAGGAAAUUGACGAACUACGAAAGAAUUUACAAAAUCUAAUGGACACUGUCGAUUUUUUCAAAUCAUCCGAAAAUCAGUCUUGUAUGGUACAAACAACAAAUAAGAGAGUUGUAAAAAUCAUUCAGAAUCGUAUUAGAGAGAUACGAGAUUUGUUGGUUCGGGACAUAAGUUUAUUGGAAGAUAAUACUUGGUAUGAGGUAAGGGAUAGAGGAGAAAAUAUAGAAGGUCGCCUAAGGGAUUUUAGACAUUCGUUGGAGGAGAAUAAUUUAAAUCCUCAGUUAGUUCAAACUCUAAAAGAUAUGGAGUUGUUAACAAAUAUACGAAAUAAUCGCUAUGAUCUUGUUAAUAAUCUUAUUGGAAAUACAGUUAUUCAUUUGCAAGAAAUUCUGGUAUUAUCUCAAACAACUGAUAAUUGGUCCCAAUGUCGCCUUAAUCCAAUUUCUUGUUAUUAAUUAUUUAACUGUUUAAAACAAAAAAAAAGACUUGACAUUUUUGUUGCAAUAAGUAUAAUUAAGCUCCUUAAGGCGAUGGUAAAUAAUAUUCCUUAAAAAAAAAAUGGCGGAGUUCUUUUUUGAGAAUGUUCUCUUCUUCUUCGUCUAACCCCAGAUACUUUGGAUCAUGUUCAAAAUAGACAAAAAUGCUAAACAGUAAAUUGUAAUUUUGUUUAUUUUUUUUUUGAAAUUAAAAGAAAAAAAUACUUAAUAACAAGGUAAAUAGAAAAUAAAGAAAGAGAACCUUUGGGAAUCUUUUUUAUGUCUUUUUGUCUUUAGGUAUUUUUUUUGGUUUUUAUUUUUACUUUUUUAUUACUUUAUUUUUGGUUUCAUGGAGAAAAAAAAGAAAAAAAAAAGAGAGAGAUGAUAACUUAACAAUUGAAUUGGAGUUUAUUUUAAAUAGUACAAAAUAAAGAAUCCUGUCCUUGUUGGCUUUUUUUUCUGAUUUGUAUCUCUUCCUUUCUUCACAAUUAGCCUAUUUAGCUGAUUCGAAGGAUAACUAACUGAUUUACAUAGUUUAUAUCUAACCAAUAUUUCGAUUAAUAAAUUUAUUCAAAAACUAUGCUUUUUAUAAUUAUUUCUACGUGUUAUACUAUCAGUUAAGUGAUACAUUGGAAAUUUAUAGUUUAUUUUCUACUUCG